UUUAUGGAGAGUUUGAUCCUGGCUCAGGAUGAACGCUGGCGGCGUGCCUAAUACAUGCAAGUCGAGCGAACGGACGAGAAGCUUGCUUCUCUGAUGUUAGCGGCGGACGGGUGAGUAACACGUGGAUAACCUACCUAUAAGACUGGGAUAACUUCGGGAAACCGGAGCUAAUACCGGAUAAUAUUUUGAACCGCAUGGUUCAAAAGUGAAAGACGGUCUUGCUGUCACUUAUAGAUGGAUCCGCGCUGCAUUAGCUAGUUGGUAAGGUAACGGCUUACCAAGGCAACGAUGCAUAGUCGACCUGAGAGGGUGAUCGGCCACACUGGAACUGAGACACGGUCCAGACUCCUACGGGAGGCAGCAGUAGGGAAUCUUCCGCAAUGGGCGAAAGCCUGACGGAGCAACGCCGCGUGAGUGAUGAAGGUCUUCGGAUCGUAAAACUCUGUUAUUAGGGAAGAACAUAUGUGUAAGUAACUGUGCACAUCUUGACGGUACCUAAUCAGAAAGCCACGGCUAACUACGUGCCAGCAGCCGCGGUAAUACGUAGGUGGCAAGCGUUAUCCGGAAUUAUUGGGCGUAAAGCGCGCGUAGGCGGUUUUUUAAGUCUGAUGUGAAAGCCCACGGCUCAACCGUGGAGGGUCAUUGGAAACUGGA
rnacentral:rRNA from 1 species